AGAGAAGCGACCUCGCGAGAGCAAGCGGACCUCAUAAGUGCGUCGUAGUCCGGAUUGGAGUCUGCAACUCGACUCCAUGAAGUCGGAAUCGCUAGUAAUCGUGGAUCAGAAUGCCACGGUGAAUACGUUCCCGGGCCUUGUACACACCGCCCGUCACACCAUGGGAGUGGGUUGCAAAAGAAGUAGGUAGCUUAACCUUCGGGAGGGCGCUUACCACUUUGUGAUUCAUGACUGGGGUGAAGUCGUAACAAGGUAACCGUAGGGGAACCUGCGGUUGGAUCACCUCCUUACCUUAAAGAAGC
rnacentral:rRNA from 1 species